rnacentral:rRNA from 1 species
UACGUAGGGGGCAAGCGUUGUCCGGAUUCAUUGGGCGUAAAGAGCGUGUAGGCGGCCAGGUAGGUCGGUUGUGAAAACUGGAGGCUCAACCUUCAGAGGUCGACCGAAACCAUCUGGCUAGAGUCCGGGAGAGGAGAGUGGAAUUCCUGGUGUAGCGGUGAAAUGCGCAGAUAUCAGGAGGAACACCAAUGGCGAAGGCAGCUCUCUGGUACGUGACUGACACUGAGACGCGAAAGCGUGGGGAGCGAACAGG